rnacentral:rRNA from 1 species
AACGAACGCUGGCGGCAUGCCUAACACAUGCAGGUCGAACGAGAUCUUCGGGUCUAGUGGCGCACGGGUGCGUAACGCGUGGGAAUCUGCCCUUUGGUUCGGAAUAACAGUUGGAAACGACUGCUAAUACCGGAUGAUGACGAAAGUCCAAAGAUUUAUCGCCAGAGGAUGAGCCCGCGUAGGAUUAGCUAGUUGGUGUGGUAAAGGCGCACCAAGGCGACGAUCCUUAGCUGGUCUGAGAGGAUGAUCAGCCGCACUGGGACUGAGACACGGCCCAGACUCCUACGGGAGGCAGCAGUGGGGAAUAUUGGACAAUGGGCGAAAGCCUGAUCCAGCAAUGCCGCGUGAGUGAUGAAGGCCUUAGGGUUGUAAAGCUCUUUUACCCGGGAUGAUAAUGACAGUACCGGGAGAAUAAGCUCCGGCUAACUCCGUGCCAGCAGCCGCCGUAA